rnacentral:misc_RNA from 1 species
UAUUAUGACACACUCAAACUA